rnacentral:rRNA from 1 species
AAUCUUCCACAAUGGACGAAAGUCUGAUGGAGCAACGCCGCGUGAGCGAAGAAGGUUUUCGGAUCGUAAAGCUCUGUUGCGAGGGAAGAACAAGUACGGGAGUACCUGCCCGUACCUAGACGGUACCUCGUCUGAAAGCCACGGCUAACUACGUUCCAGCAGCCGCGGUAAUACGUAGGUGGCAAGCGUUGUCCGGAAUGAUUGGGCGUAAAGCGCGCGCAGGCGGUCCUUUAAGUCUGAUGUGAAAGACCACGGCUCAAAAGUGGAGGGUCAUUGGAAACUGGAGGACUUGAGUACAGAAGAGGAAAGAGGAAUUCCACGUGUAGCGGUGAAAUGCGUAGAGAUGUGGAGGAACACCAGUGGCGAAGGCGGCUUUCUGGUCUGUAACUGACGCUGAGGCGCGAAAGCGUGGGGAGCAAACA